rnacentral:lncRNA from 1 species
CUUGCCUCCAGGAGCUUGGGGUCUUCACAUCCCUGCCGCAGCGAGCCAUCUCCGUCUCACAGGACGGACAUGGACAUAGCCUUAGAGGGCAGACUUGAAGGUGCUUGUUCUGACCCCUGAGGGUGUCGCAUCCGAGGCUCUGAGGUCAGCAGAGGCAUUGCCCACUGCAAUCCCAGAGCUUCACGUGGAGGGGCAGAACAUUUUGUUCCAGCUCUACUGUAGAGUGAAAUAUCGAAUCACAUUGAGGGCCGGAGAUUUAGCUCAGUGGUUCUGUCACCUGCCUCGCAAGCACAAGGUCCUGAGUUUGAUCCCUGGUACCAAAAAAAAAAACCCCAAAUCAAAUCACAUUGAUAGUAAAACAGGACACCUGGAGAGAUGUUUAUGCUGACAGUAGGUGCCCUCAUCCCCCAAGAGACUGUGCAUCUGGAGAUAGGGUGGGCUUGAGGGCCUUUCGGGAUCCUGCCAGUAGGGUUGAGGGAGCUGAGGACCUGCAUGCCGCUGCUGCUGAGUCUGGCAGUGCCCCACAUUCUGAGUGCAGAAGGGACCCCCGAGAGGUGGGCAUUCUAUUGCAGGCUAUAAACCUGAAAUCAACUGACAGCGGACUUCUAGAGAUUUUGAUUCAGCCUAACUGAAACAUCUGCAUUUCCAUGAACUGCUUUGUCCCCUCCCUGCCAGAGUUAUCCUGGGGAGAAUUGGUCUGGAUUAGCCCUCAGGCCUCUCUCCUGCCAAGACUGCCCAUGGGCAGACCCGGCCAGGUGGUUCCUCGGGCCUUUACUUGGUCCUAAGGUCAGUGGAGGAUUUGGCCAUGAAUAAGUUUGUAAACCACUCCGGGCAUGGUGGAACAUGCCUGGAAUUCUAGCUAUUUGGGUGGCUGAGGCAGAAAGAUCACAAGUUCAAGGCCAGUCCGGAUAACUUGGCAAGACUCUUCCUGAAAAAAGAAAAAGGACUGAGGAUAUAGCUCAGUCCUCCGUGCUUCCAGUUCCCUGAAAAGGGGGCGGGGGCCUUACAACCCAACCAUCUUCGUUAAGAAGUUACCCAAAACGAAAAGCCAAUUUUUUUGUACUGGGGAAGAAACUCAGGACCUUCGAGGCAGGCACAGUGCCACUGAGCUAAUCCUCAGCCCAAGACAAAACUUUUUGGACAUGGGGAACCUGAGUCCCACCCUGAGUGUGGUGCUUCUCAGUCUCCCCCACCCCGAAUUCCCCCCUGAAGUAGCCUGAACCUCAGACAAGAACAAAUGGGAACCUGGGGUUGGGAAGGGUCUAGAAGGGCUGUAUAGACCAUAAUACAUUUUCUAAAUCCUGCCUGAUUCUCAAGGUGAA